AGGCCCACAUCUGAUUAAACCUUUUUACCCCACCCACUUCACUUCACCUACCACCACCACAAAGCCACCAUCCUCCCAUACCAAUCUCAGCCAUGGCCAUCAUCUGAAGGUACAUUUCUUCUCCCCCUCCUCUAAUUUCUUUAGCUACGUUAGUCACAAUGUAAAAAGUAUUCUCUUUUUUUUCCUCCAUUUUCUAUUCUCUUACUCUCUCUUAUAGAACCACCCUUUUUUACCAUCUUAUGCUACUCCUCAAACCCUUUAGGCAAAUAAAUGACUUCCUUGAAGAGACCCCUGUUAGAAUGUAGUUCAAGGGCCCCUAAAAAACAGCACCUUGAUUCAGCACUAUGGAUAAUCUCUGAAAAAAAUCGGACUGUGGUUGAAGAAUGCGAGAUGGAGUUUUUGCCAACUGAUGGAGAAAAGGCUCGUGAAAUUCUUGAGACCAUCAGAUCUCUAGGUUGGUGUUCCUUUGUAAAAAGUCCAGGAGAUUAUGUUAGAGAAAUUAUCCUUGAAUUUUAUACCAACCUCAACAAGCUAGAUAGGACAUCAAAGGUGAAAGCCACAUUCUUUCACAGGUCCGGACAGCAGUAGUUUUCCAGAUGCAGGUACUAGUUGGUGUCAAAUUCCACAACUCUCAAACUCAAUGCCGCUACCACCACUUGAUCCCAUGCCAUUUAGCAAUUGAGCAUUUUUCUUAGAUGUAACAACAAUCAGUGAAAUUGCUACUUCUAGCAUUCCUAUCCAUUUCUUCAAUGAAGAACCAUCUGUUGCUACUCCACACAUGGAAAAAACAAUUUUGAUAUGGAUCUUGAUUUCUUUCAUCAUGAUGGAACAGGUUUAGUAUUGAGGGUGUUCAUUUGGUACAAUGAACGAUUUAAGUGACGGGGAGUUGGUAAGUAUUCUGCUCUAUCUUUCCAUGGUUCCAAAGAUGUGGCUGAAGUUUUUGUAUAAAGGUUAUUAUAUUUUGUGGAAAAAAAAACUUAUGGUUGCUUUGGAGGCAUCUAACUGGAAGUUUUUUUUUGUUGUCUCGGUUAUGUACUUUUGUUGUACUGACAAGCUAUGAUGAUCUUGGUUGACAAUCUAACAAGAAAUAUUUUUUGCAUUAAAUAUUAAUGGCCCAUGAAGGAUAGAACUAAUGGUUUUUAUGUUUUUGAAGGAAGAACUUUUGCACUCUUGUAGGUAAGAUUUAGUGGUUGUAAAUAUAUCUUAAAUCUAUGCAUGUUGGUGUUUUUAGAUGCUUAACUUUCAUGUGAUUUUUUUUACAAAAUACUUAUCUUUGUCAUGAAAAUGAUGCAUAGCUAACACUCAUAUGCACUUUGGUAAAUUGCUCUUAAAGGGAUUCUUCUCUUUUUUAGCAGUAAAAUUGAUAAACAUUUAAGAAAUUAAAAAAUAUGAAAAAAUUUGCUUUUAGAAGAUUUUGCACAUGAAUGACUUCAAUAAAUUUUUGACAACACUUCUGGAAGUGUUUCAAAUCCAUAAGAGCUUUAAGAACUUAUAACUUUUGCCACUACUUUUGCAAAUGUAAAUAGUCUACUGCAAUGAAACUUUGAAUUUUUGAAAAUAAUUAAGACAUGAAACUCAUGAUAUAUAGUCAAUAACUAGAACUUGCCUCUAUUGUUUGUCAAGGUGAAAUCCUAGAAAAGUGCUGAUUUUGGAAAAUGAAUUAGGCCAUCUUUGGAUCGUUUGAGCCUUUUUGUUAAUCCCACCAAAAGAAAUAUAUCCUUAGUACCCAAACUUUAAGCCUAUACUUUUCUAUUCAUAAACCUUGAUGACUCCAAAGCCAAAAAGAAAAAAUUAUUAUAUAACACCCUCUUAUUAUUUUUCCUAGUCUCGUGUUUAAGAUAAAAAGGAUGACAAAUUGUAUAUAUGUGUACGAUCAAAAGGAAUGUUGGACAAUUAAGUUCCACAACAUACACAUUAUCAACUCGUAUCUUGUAUAUGUGUAAUGAAAUACAUAUCUUACUGCUCAGACUUUAUUUACUUUUACUACUUACUGAGUUGGAGUACUCACAUUACUCCCUGCACCUUGUGUGCAGAUUCAGGUAUUUCUAAACCCGGUAGCAGGUAUUGAUCGCUCAGAGGCAAAGUCAUCGGAGUUUAGCAAGGUAGCUGCCCGACGUUCGCAGCAUAGCUUCUCUCCCUCUUGUUUUCAUUAGACUAUAUUUAGUAUAUUUUGCAGACUUCUCGUUGUAUUCAGUUUUUCGUAGAUGCCCAUGACUAGUGACACCCCGAUGUCGGGCUUGUAUAUUAUUUUCGCGCUGUUCAGUUAGACUUACAUCAUGAGAUUAUUUAUUAAUAAAUGGUAUAAAAAUA